rnacentral:rRNA from 1 species
AUGCGCCCCUUCUCAUCCCCUCCCCCGGUUCAUCGGAGAGGAAAAUUAGCAGGUCGAGCGACCAGAUCCGCCCACAUCUGGCCCCGUUGCAACUGGCGCCGACCGCGGUGUUGGCGGGAGGCGCCAACACGCCGCUCUCGGCCGUGGAGCUGCUCCCGCCGGGCCACCCGAACCCGUCCGUCGCCUGCUCGCCUCCAGCAGCGUCUUCUCCGAACACACAGCCGACGGUGGUACGUGCUUGUGCUGGCGUGGCCGCGGCUCCACGAGGCCGUGCUCGACCCCGCCGGUGUCGAGCCCUUCGCGCGCGCCCACGCCGGCCUCCCCGCCUACGCCUACUAA